AAACUGAAAGUUUUACUUAUAAUUAACAGUUUUUUUAUGGAAAAGAGAAAACUGAUCGUCCUGUUACUUUUUUCUUUCAAUCGCUUUAGUAAAGCUUAAGGAUAAUUUCAAUAAGGAGGAUCAAUAACACUUCCUAAAAUUCCAGGCUGUUGUUAAUUCUGCACACCACUCAUGAUCACUUUUUAAUUCUGAACCAAAAGCUAAAUUGCCUGCCUUUUCUUCUCAGCAAAUCUCCAUCACUUUUUUGCCUCAUAUAUGUGGAAGUUUAUCUCUCCUGCAUUCCAGAUGGUUUUGCCAGUCAAUCCUCCACGCCGUUAUUUACCAGAUAUAAUGCUUUGGAAUGAUCUGCCCUUUUAACAACCAUCAACGUCUAGCUUUGGAGUUUAUUCACCUAUGAUCUGAGCUUAUCCCCUGAAUCUAAGACAUCACAGGUGCAGAGCAUAACCCCCAAAGAUUUAUGGACCAAUUCUCUCUAUAUUUUUAUGUGUCAAAAAUGAAUCAUUCUUGUGUUCCUAAGAUCUUUCCUUAUUGAAAUUCAUGUUUAACUUUGUUUAUGCAUUCCAUGUUAUCUGUCCUGGAAAUAAAGACAGACAUUUUAAACUGUGAACUGUAGACAGACUAUGCAAAUGCUACAUCAUUAACCUGACAUUAUGAAUAAAAACGUUCUAACAUUUAAAAGAAAAACUGACAAAUAUUAACAAAAUGAGAUCCAGCAAAUUUAGAGCUUAUAUACUAAUCCUCAAUUGUGAAACUUUUAAUUGAAAACAUUUCAUUUUUUUAACCCCAAGGGUUUUGGCAAAAGAUAAAAUAAUUACUAUUACAUGAAUAUAUUUGUUAUAAAGUUUUACAGAGCAGAGAAAGAAAACAUCACAGCUGUUCAAGUCCACAUUGCACAGGAGAAAAGGUUGGAAAAGAGAACCAGCAACAACAGAAAAGGAUCUCUGUGAAGCAAGCAAAGCUUGUGUUGAUGAUGAUUAAAGUAAAUUUGUAUUUUUAAAUAGCAAAACUAAAAAUAUGACUCAUUUUUAUUGCUGUUUUGUUAUCAUUGUGUUCACUAUGAGUGCUUCUUUUUGGACAUGUUUUCCUGUUUACUCCUUGUUUUGCAAUGACAACAAAAAAAGUGGGUCAGGGUCCCAGAUGCUGCCUUUAGACUGUGAAAUGCACAAGCGUGUUUUUCCGGGGUUUUUUUUUCCUCCAGCAACGACAAAAACAACUUAAAAUAAGAAAACUCAAACAUCUGCGACCUUUUUUUUUUUUUUUUACAGCAUUUAGGUUGAAAGAAGAGUUUUAAAAUGAGACACAUUUCUCUGUGCUGUCAACUUUAGUGCAAAGUGAACAAACAUAAUUUAAAAUAAAAACAUACCAGAGUCUUAGGUGAUCCCAAGUGAAAUCAAUGUUGUAUUUUGAACACUAUUUAUUGCACACACCAACAACAAAAACCCCUAAUGAUGUGAUAAAAACCCAAGCCACCCCUCAUAAUUGUACUCCCAUCAAAUAAUCAAUAACAUCAUGAUGGACAAAGCAACUAAGUCAAUGCAUUUUAAGAUUGAUUUCAACAUUCUGUCUUUGUUAGGUUUUCUCCUCCUAACACUAUCAAACAAUAUUCUAAUGUCAGAUCUUUGAAAUUUGUACUUAAAAUGUUUUUGCAUAUACUACAAAUACUAAGAAAUUGCUAAUUUAUCGUGUGAAUAUUGGGAAGCUAAGACUUAAAUAAAGAUACAUUGUUCUGCAUGUUACACAAAAAUAACUCUCAUAAUUGGUAGAUCUUUAAAAUGAUUUUCUAUGUAAAAGGUCCCAUAUACAGUAGCUGGUGGCAGGCAAAAGUUGGGUUUAUCUUGUGACCACAUGAUGGCAGUAGAGAUUAAGUAAAGAGUAAGUCAACAAAUAUAGAAUCAGAUUGGUUUCUACAUGAGGUCAAACCAAAAAGGCCUAUUCCUAUUUAACAUUUUCCCCAAAUUUAUCUAAAUCUGCACUAGUGAGCACUUCUACUUUUUUUAGUUUAUUUACCCACCAUACCUGUAUAAGACCCUGCAUAGACUUUAGACUAUACGGAAGUUUUAUAUCUUUCAGUUCAGCAACAAGAAAGUGAAGUGUUUGUUUUGUUGUUGCUUAUGCACAGAUCAUUUCUUAAAGAAAUAAAACAAAAAAAAGAUAACGGUUUGAAACUUAAAAAGAAAAAAGCCUUUUGGAUUUUUGGCAUUUCAUGGAAGCCAUCUGGUUUCAAUGCUCAAUUAAACUUUGGAGAAUGUGACAACCUUAAAAAUAUUUGAUUAAUUUCUAACUUAGGUAUGUUACCUUGGACAAUAUAAAAACAUUAAGAAAAGCAUGACAGCACAAGCUUCAAAAACAUUUGAACAGAUAAUAAAAAUUUAAAGUUAGAGCAAAACUUGUCAUGGCACCUCUGUCAGCCCCGCCCCUCUGCUCUGCUCCUGACUCCACCAGCUGUGACCAAUUCAUCCUCAUCAACUCUGCCCUUCUUAAGGAGACCCAGCUCCACAACUCAUCGCCAGAUCAUUACCCCUUAUGGAUUCCUGCUCACCAGUGUCACCUGUGUAGAAGUCAGUUCGAGCCCCCCUGCUGUUCUGGAAACAUCACUCUCCGCUAGCCGCGUUACUACCUCCAGCCACGCCUCAAUCUUCGCUCCUCUCUGGAUCACAUUCACGCUAGCACCAUCUUCCUGGAAGGAAAGAAUAAAAACUAGGGAUGGGAAUCGAAGCCCCAUGAAGCUCUCAUGGGGCUUCGUGUAAAUGUGCCAGAAAAAUGAAUGAAGCAUUUGGGGCUUCGAAACCACACAGAACAGCGGCAUCUGGUGGCAGACAGGACAUAUAUCAUCUACUCCACUAAGUUCCUUGCCCUUGUAACACUUCAGUGUGGAAAUAAAACAAAGACAAUGUUUGAA